UACGUAGGGGGCAAGCGUUGUCCGGAUUUAUUGGGCGUAAAGAGCGUGUAGGCGGCCAUACAGGUCCGUUGUGAAAACUCGAGGCUUAACCUCGAGACGUCGAUGGAAACCGUAUGGCUAGAGUCCGGAAGAGGAGAGUGGAAUUCCUGGUGUAGCGGUGAAAUGCGCAGAUAUCAGGAAGAACACCCGUGGCUAAGGCGGUUCUCUAGUACGGUACUGACGCUGAGACGCGAAAGCGUGGGGAGCGAACAGG
rnacentral:rRNA from 1 species